rnacentral:rRNA from 1 species
GACGAACGCUGGCGGCGUGCUUAACACAUGCAAGUCGAACGGAAAGGCCCUGCUUUUGUGGGGUGCUCGAGUGGCGAACGGGUGAGUAACACGUGAGUAACCUGCCCUUGACUUUGGGAUAACUUCAGGAAACUGGGGCUAAUACCGGAUAGGAGCUCCUGCUGCAUGGUGGGGGUUGGAAAGUUUCGGCGGUUGGGGAUGGACUCGCGGCUUAUCAGCUUGUUGGUGGGGUAGUGGCUUACCAAGGCUUUGACGGGUAGCCGGCCUGAGAGGGUGACCGGAAACAUGGGGAAUGAAAUAGGGCCAAGACUCCUAGGGGAGGCAGCGGGGGGAAAUAUGGCAAAAGGGGGGGGAGCCGGAGGCAGCAGCCCCGGGUGGGGGAGGACGGCUUUGGGGUUGAAAACCGCUUUCGCCGGGGAAGAAGGGGGGGGGAGGGUAAGGGGUAAAGAAGCCCGGGAUAACUACGUG